ACACACACAUAAAUAAAUAAUAAAUCAUAAGCUGUCCUAUUUUCUCAAGCUUGUAAUUCUAUCUAUUGAGCUCAUCCAUAAGCUACCUAUUCAGCUCAUCUGUAAACUGCCUAUUUAAUAUGAUUAGAACUUAAAAUAACUCAUUAAGCCUAAUUUAUAAGCUAUCCAUUUAACAGAAGCAAAGAGACCAUAACUAGGGUUGGAACUGGGCCGGGCCGAACCGAGCCCUACCC
rnacentral:lncRNA from 1 species